rnacentral:rRNA from 1 species
GAUGAACGCUAGCGGCAGGCCUAACACAUGCAAGUCGAGGGAGAAGCCCCUGCGUGGGCAGAGACCGGCGCACGGGUGCGUAACGCGUACGCAACCUACCCCUCACAGUGGGAUAGCGCGAAGAUAUGGGGACUAAUACUCCAUAAUAUUAGUGGAUGGUAUCACUUGAUAAUGAAAACUGAGUUGGUGAAAGAUGGGCAUGCGUCCUAUUAGCUAGGUGGGGUGGUACCGGCACGGCGAGGCUACGAUAGGAAGGGGUCCUGAGGGGGAGAUGCCCCACAGUGGGACCGGGACCGUGACCAGUCUGCUACGGGAGAGAGCCGUGAGGAAUAUUGGUGAAUGGUAGGAAGACUGAACCGGCCAUGCCGCAUGCAGGAAGAAUGCGUUCGGGGUGGUAAACUGCUUUUAGAUGGGAAGAAUAAGGUGUAAGUGUACAUUGGUGACGGUAACGGAUAAAUAAGCACCGGCUAACUACGUG